rnacentral:hammerhead_ribozyme from 1 species
GCACUGGUGAGGAGUUCCAUACCAGGACGAAACGGCCGUCCAGUGC